rnacentral:rRNA from 1 species
UCUGGUUGAUUCUGCCAGUGGUCAUAUGCUUGUCUCAAAGAUUAAGCCAUGCAUGUCUAAGUUCACAUCCUGGAAUGAUGAUACUGCGAAUAGCUCAGUAAAUCAGUUAUAGUCUAUCCAAGAUUAAAGUUUAGGAUAACUGUGGUAAAUCUAGAGCUAAUACUUGAUCAAACCGCAUUUAUCAUUAAGCAACAAAUUGUUAAGUGAAUCUGGAUAACUUUGCAAAACGUUUUCAACGACGACGUUAAUUUGGACGAAUUUCUGCUCUAUUAACUAGUUGGUGAGAUAGUUGCUCACCAAGGUAGUAAUGGAUAACGGAGAAUCAGGGUUCGAUUCCGGAGAGGGAGCCUGAGAAACGGCUACCACUUCUAAGGAAGGCAGCAGGCGCGCAAAUUACCCAAUCCAGAAAUUGGGAGGUAGUGACGAGAAAUACCAGAGUAGAAUUUAUAUUUUGCUACUGGAAUGAACAUGAUCUAUAACAUCUGCUGAUUAACUAUUAGAGGGCAAGUCUGGUGCCAGCAGCCGCGGUAAUUCCAGCUCUAAUAGUGUAUAUCAAAGUUGCUGCGUUUAAAAAGCUCGUAGUUGGAUUACAAAGUGAUUUUUGCAGUCUCGUUUAAGCAAUUAGAUGAGACAGUUAAAUUUGACUUUUUAUCGCAAAAUCCGUGUGUAGAAUUAACUUUUUGUACACGGCCCGUUGCGGAGUGUGCCUUGAAUAAAGCAUAGUGCUCAAAGCAAGCGUACGCUGGAAUGUAAUAGCAUGGUACGAAUACAAUUGUUUUGUUACAGUUGUGUUGGUUGCUGUCAAAACUCGAUUAAAAGGAGCAUUUGAGGGCGUUAGUACUUGGUGGCGAGAGGUGAAAUUCUUAGACCCAUCAAAGACUCACAAAUGCGAAGGCAUUCGCCAUGACUGCUUUCAUUAAUCAAGAACGAAGGUAGGAGGCUCGAAGACGAUCAGAUACCGUCGUAGUUCCUUACAGUAAACAAUGCUAACGUGAAAUUGGCAUGAUUCAUUGAAACAUGUCAGUUUCUAAGAGAAAUCUAGUUUUUUAGCUAUGGGGAGAGUACUCACGCAAGUGAUAAAUUUAAAACAAUUGACGGAAGGGCACCACCAGGAGUGGAGCCUGCGGCUUAAUUUGACUCAACACGGGGCAACUCACCAGGUCCGGACAUUGAAAGGAUUGACAAACUGACAGAUUUUUCAUGAUACAAUGAUUGGUGGUGCAUGGCCGUUCUUAGUUGGUGGAGCGAUCUGUCAGGUUUAUUCCGGUAACGAGCGAGACCACAAUCCAUAAUUGAUCAUUCUCAAUCUAUUGAGAAAUCUUAUGGAGACUACCCAAGCAAAUUGGGCGGAAGUGUGGCAAUAACAGGUCUGUGAUGCCCUUCGAUGUUCUGGGCUGCACGCGCGCUACAAUGACAGCAACAAAAAGUUUCUAGUUUGAAAAAACCGGGAAAUCUCUAAUUGCUGUCGUGAUAGGAAUUGAGCCUUGUAAUUAUUGCUCAUGAAAGUGGAAUUCCUCGUAAGCGCAAGUCAUAAACUUGUGUUGAAUACGUCUCUGCCCUUUGUACACACCGCCCGUCGCUAGUACCAAUUGGGUGAGUUUGUGAAUUCUCAGGAUGAUGCAUUUUUUGCGUCAAAGCGAGUGUAAACAAACUUUUCUAAAGGAACUAAAAGUCGUAACAAGGUUUCCGUAGGUGAACAAGCGGAAGAA